CCUACGGGAGGCAGCAGUGGGGAAUCUUGCGCAAUGGGCGAAAGCCUGACGCAGCCAUGCCGCGUGAAUGAUGAAGGUCUUAGGAUUGUAAAAUUCUUUCAGCGGGGACGAUAAUGACGGUACCCGCAGAAGAAGCCCCGGCUAACUUCGUGCCAGCAGCCGCGGUAAUACGAAGGGGGCUAGCGUUGCUCGGAAUUACUGGGCGUAAAGGGAGCGUAGGCGGAUAGUUUAGUCAGAGGUGAAAGCCCAGGGCUCAACCUUGGAACUGCCUUUGAUACUGGCUAUCUUGAGUAUGGGAGAGGUAAGCGGAAUUCCGAGUGUAGAGGUGAAAUUCGUAGAUAUUCGGAAGAACACCGGUGGCGAAGGCGGCUUACUGGCCCAUGACUGACGCUGAGGCUCGAAAGCGUGGGGAGCAAACAGGAUUAGAUACCCCAGUAGUC
rnacentral:rRNA from 1 species